AAAAUGUGUUCUUAUUUGUGUGUUUAUAUACAUGAUUUUCUAUUUUUUAUUUUGGUUUUCUUGACUUCUAUCUAAUUCCUACUGCUCAUCGGCUUCGGACUUUCAUCUGGCAGGACGGACGGUCAUAUAACUUUCGUUUUCUUGACGUCCAAUUCUAGACAAGCAACCGAGAUUCGUCAGAGGACUUGAAAAAGUUUUUUGUCGUCUAGUUGUUUGUUCAUUUUUUGUGCAUUUGUCACCGCUAGACAACAAAG
rnacentral:ribozyme from 1 species